AGCAGAGAGGACCGUUGGGAGAAUGAGAAGGCUGCUGGAGAGGGAUGGCUCAAGGGGACAGCUUCAGGUCUGAGAAGACUGGAUGAAAGGAGUCAGGAGGAGACUGAAGGAGCAAGUCAAGGGGCUGCAGAGGCUUCCCAAGCCCUGAGAAGAGUAAGUCCUAAGAAGUGGAAUGGAGUCAUCAUGAUUUCAAGCAGCCGCUAGAUGCCAGGCCUUCCGGGGACACGAAGGUGCCGCGCCGGGUGGCUUUCCACAGGAAGCCGGUGCUGAGACUGGAGAGUUGUCGGCUGGAAAUGAGGACAGAGGAGGAGUCCUGUGCCCGGGUGUCGGAGCGUGGGAAUCGGUCUUGGCUGGAGGAGGAGAGUCCCCUCCGUCCCCGCACCACAGCCAGCCCACCCACGUCCCCAGCCAUCUCUUGCCAUGGAACAAAAGCAGAGACAGACUCUGGGACCAAGGAGAGGUUUAAUGGAGGAAGAAUGAGGACUCCUCGGGGACUCCGGUGAUUCGUCAUUUCCAGAGGCCGACUGGCUGCGGGGGCCCGUGAGGAGCUCAGAGAGGGGCCCAGAGGAAGCCUGGCUGGGCGGCUUUGGUGCCCACAGAUGCACAGGCCAUGUGCCUGGAAGCUGACUUUGCUGGCUCCGUGAGUCGAUCGCCGGGGUGGCAGGUGGUAUCCACAGGUGAGCGUGGUCGGAGAUGACCAGGCGCUGACCCAGACUGCUGCUCCCUGCCUGGCCUGAGCCCAGGGUGGCCCCUGCCCAGCCCUGCCACUCGGGGGAGGCGGCACAGGGCCCUUUGCCUGCAGAUGGGGCCUCCAGGGGAGGGCACUGCCUCCACAUUGGUGGGUGUCCACGCCCACGCCAACGCCUGCGGAGCUGCGGCCCCGCGCAGGGUGCUGUCACCCCGCUGGCCUGUGAGUGGAGGGCGGCCCAGGAGCGUGAACCCCAUGGAAAGCCAGCCUGGAGCUGGAGUGCCAGGGCCUCGCCUGCGGCUCUGCCACUUGCUGGCUGUGCUACCUUGGAAAAGUUUUCUUAAGGCUCUCUGUGCCCCAGUGUCGUCCUCUGUCACAUGGUGAUCAUAACAGUCCUGACCCAGUUACUGGGCUGUGAGGUCUAAAUGAGGUAAUACGGGCCACAGGUUCUUUUAAGCAGGAUUUCUUUUACUUAGAAGGAUUAAAAAAAAAAAUGGAAUACUCCCUAAGAAGGGUUCCUGAUCUCAAUAUCUUUGGGUUCUUGAUAUUGGGGGGGGGUGUGGAAGGGCAUCAGGGGUCGAAUGGCAUCAAGGACUCCUCCAGACCGCAAAGCCUUGUGUCUGUGUGUAUGUGCGUAAGUCACUUGGCCCUCCCCCUCCAGCACAGGUUCUAUAUACUAAGAUGCUCAGGGGGCGGGGCCUGACUAGAGAUUGGAUGCCUGGGGGGAGGGUGUGGUGGUUCAAGUGUCUUUAUUUGAGACCAGCGUUUCUCAGCCUCGGUGCUAUUGACAUUUGGGGCCGGAUGACUCUAAGCUGUGGGGUGCCGUUCUGUGCAUUGUAGGAUGAUUAACAGCAUCUGUUGCUCUUCGCCACGAGAUGCCAGUUGUGACAAUCAAAAAUGUCUCCAGAUGUUGCUAAAUGUCCUCAAGGACGGGAGAGGGGGACAGACGGCCUCUGCCGGAAAGCUCCUGCUUUGUCCAGUCUUCUAGGCAGCGAGCCCUCUCUAAGCAGACCUUCUUCACUGUCCCGAAAUUUAUAACAAAGUCACUUUUCUGAGCCUCCGUCUGUCUGCGUCGUCCUGUGCGCGGUCCACAUGGGGUCCAGUGAAAAUUCUGGCAAAGGGUUUUUCAAAAUUGGUGGACCGUGGGCUUUCCAAACCCCAGUCCCGUCUGAUAUAAAUUACUGGUUCCUUAACCUGGUUGGGCAGCUGGAUCAAUUGGAACUUGGUUUUUAUUGUAUUUCUUUUUCGCUCAAACCUAAAGGGUUUUUAGAGCGUUAAAUGCAACAUAAAUCACUUAGUCCUUUACUAUUAAAACCCGAGCUAUGAUGAAAAUUAAACAGUUAAUUCUGUGGAGAGCAAGAUCUUGAGGUAAUCUUCUUUUGUGGUGAAUACAUUUUUUUUUUUUUUUUUAAACCGCAGACCUCAAAUGUGUAGUUCCACAUUCAGGGGAAAGGCCAGAGAAGGGUUUUAAGGAGAAGACCCAGCAAGAAACAGAUGUGGAAAAGGAAUCGGAAGCAUUGGAGGUUCCCACUGUUUAGGAUUCUCGGCACGGGUACCCUCGUGCUGGGGCAUCCUGCUUUUUUCCUAAAUGCUGUGGAGCUUGCUUUGGGGCAGGUCCUUUCAGCCGUGGGUUUGCCAGCACCAAGGCCCCCUGUCUCGGGACCAGGGUGCCCAGGAGCGGGCAUCAGGAGCAAGCUUUGGAAAUGUUGGGGUUGCAGCCGGGAGCGCCUCUGGGUGACAGAUUGUCUUAAACGAAGCGGCUGGUGUUUGCCCUGUGGGAUUUGGGAGGUCUUGUCAGUAACACCCGGGUUCAGGAGCAGCAUGGGGUCCAGCUCGCCGAGGUGUGUGUCGGUAGCACUGAGCGUGGUCAUUUGAGUCCCCUUUGUAUUCGGUGGCCUGGGCUGUCAUCUGCACAGCUGGUCCUGUGGGCACGGUGAUUAAGAUUCCAACCAGCGCCUGGGGACACCAUGGCUGUACCAGGAUAGAUGUAACCUACACGCGGAGACAUCUAGGGUCCGGUAAGGUGUGUGCACCCUGGCAAGGAUUCUGGCUGCUUGGAAGGCAUCGAGACGGCUCUGGGCAGAGCAAAUGCGGCUCCUAUCCCGGGGUUUCUUAAGAAUGCACUUGGAUGCUGUUCCGUGUGGACCAAGUAGAUGCUGUGGGUCAUCCUAGAGCUGAGCUGUAGGAGACUUGUGAUGACAGAUGGGCGUGGCAGCCCCAGGGCAGGGAUAUCUGUGAUGAAGUUAGUUGCAAAUGGGCCCCUCAGAGAGGAAGUUUCUUCAAGCCAGACAAGCUAACACCAAGGGUUGUGGUGCAAAUCGCUCUAACAGUGUAGAGUUGUUGUGUAGACGGUCUUGCCUUGUAGAUGGUCAAGCUGAUGCUAGAGUGGAUCCGGUCUCCACUGGUGGGGCCACAAUCUCCUUUAGAAGAGCCAGGGAGGACGGGUGGGGCAGGCGAUGACGGGGUUGGCCCUGGAUUGGCCAUCUUUGUGGGCACCGAGUUGGGUCCUCUUUGACACUGUGACACAGUGGUUCUCCUGCACUUGCCUGCUGAAGUGAAGGGUUUCAGCGAAGCACAGAGAUGAGGUCGGGGGCCCGAGACCUCAGACAGGCC